CACACGACUCUCGGCNACGGAUAUCUCGGCUCUCGCAUCGAUGAAGAACGUAGCGAAAUGCGAUACCUGGUGUGAAUUGCAGAAUCCCGCGAACCAUCGAGUCUUUGAACGCAAGUUGCGCCCGAGGCCAUUCGGCCGAGGGCACGCCUGCCUGGGCGUCACG
rnacentral:rRNA from 1 species